rnacentral:rRNA from 1 species
CAGUCGCCACGGUAAUACGAAGGGUGCAAGCGUUAAUCGGAAUUACUGGGCGUAAAGCGUGCGUAGGCGGUUUGUUAAGUCUGUUGUGAAAUCCCCGGGCUCAACCUGGGAAUGGCAAUGGAUACUGGCAAGCUAGAGUGUGUCAGAGGAUGGUGGAAUUCCCGGUGUAGCGGUGAAAUGCGUAGAGAUCGGGAGGAACAUCAGUGGCGAAGGCGGCCAUCUGGGACAACACUGACGCUGAGGCACGAAAGCGUGGGGAGCAAACAGGAUUAGAUACCCCUGUAGUCCCUGUCUCUUAUAA